rnacentral:sRNA from 1 species
UUUGUGUUUUACAGGACCGAUUUUCGAGGACUUUGAUUGGAACCGGGGAGGAACGUGAUGGAGUGUAUUAUCUAACGGAUGCGGCUACAACAACGGUGCAUAAAGUGGACAUCACAACAGAUCAUGCUUU